AGAGUUUGANCCUGGCUCAGGAUGAACGCUAGCUACAGGCUUAACACAUGCAAGUCGAGGGGAAACGACAUCGAAAGCUUGCUUUUGAUGGGCGUCGACCGGCGCACGGGUGAGUAACGCGUAUCCAACCUGCCCAUCACUUGGGGAUAACCUUGCGAAAGUAAGACUAAUACCCAAUGAUAUCUCUAGAAGACAUCUGAAAGAGAUUAAAGAUUUAUCGGUGAUGGAUGGGGAUGCGUCUGAUUAGCUUGGUUGGCGGGGUAACGGCCACCAAGGCUACGAUCAGUAGGGGUUCUGAGAGGAAGGUCCCCACAUUGGAACUGAGACCACGGUCCAAACUCCUACGGGAGGCA
rnacentral:rRNA from 1 species